GAGCCACUGAAUCCAACUUGGUUGAUGAGAUGAUACCCUUAUACCCUCAAAGUGAGAAUAUUAUUUUAGCUUGUCUGUGGUCCUUAGCGACCUAGUCAUCUAUCAAUAUUUUGCCUUUUUCUGUAGGAUUUAGUUUACUAUUUCCUUAAUAAAAGGAGCGAUGAUCUUUACCCUUUUCUGUCUACUUCUUCGGUUGUAAUAGGUUAGGGUGGGUAUAAGUGGCUGUCUGACAAGUU
rnacentral:snoRNA from 1 species